rnacentral:rRNA from 1 species
GUGGGGACGAAGCACUGACGGUACCCACGGAGGAAGGCCCGGCUAACUACGUGCCAGCAGCCGCGGUAAUACGUAGGGGUCGAGCGUUGUCCGGAGUUACUGGGCGUAAAGCGUGCGCAGGCGGCUCAUCGCGCUCGGCGUGAAAGCCCCCGGCUCAACCGGGGAGGGUCGUCGAGGACGGAUGAGCUUGAGGGUAUCAGGGGUUGGUGGAAUUCCCGGUGUAGUGGUGAAAUGCGUAGAGAUCGG